GACGAGGGGUCCAAGCGUUGUUCGGAAUCAUUGGGCGUAAAGCGGGUGUAGGCGGCUCUAUAAGUCAGAAGUGAAAGCCCCAGGCUUAACCUGGGAAGUGCUUUUGAUACUGUAGAGCUUGAAUGUGGGAGAGGAUCGUAGAAUUCCAGGUGUAGUGGUGAAAUACGUAGAUAUCUGGAGGAAUACCGGUGGCGAAGGCGGCGAUCUGGCCCAACAUUGACGCUGAGACCCGAAAGCGCGGGGAUCAAACAGG
rnacentral:rRNA from 1 species